UAGUUAAUAAUAGGUGGGGUUCUAAAUGAAAACUUCUCAUAAUAAGAAAAUGAAGGUCGCAGGUCUGCUGUCCCUGAAUUUUUUGUCUCUUCCGUUUUUUAUCUAAUUGCUUCACAUGUGUCUUUCAACUUAUUAAAAAGCUUGCACUUUUAAAUUUAUUAGUUUGUAUUGGAAAUUAAAAAAGAAAAAGGAGAAGUCGUCGGCGAGGGGGGUUCAACCAUCAGAGACACAUCCAUUCUUAUGUUUCGCCCAAACCCACAAACAACCCACCUCGCGACAACUUCUUCUUAUCUUCGUCAACACUGACCAAGCCCCUCUCUCUGGGUUUCAUAUGGAUUCAACCAUCGAAGACACAUCCGUUGCUCUUACAGAAACAAGAUCGUUGUCUCUCCAACCUCAUCAGCCCCAAUUCUAAUUGUCUGGCUCCGAUUCAGAUCGUAGCCUUCGCAGGCUAUGAAUCAAUUCGCUUUCAAUCAUCGGCCGACUCAAUUCCAUUUCUAAAACGAUGGAAUUAAUCCGCAUGUAUCGUUGCUCUCGAUUUUUCGCAUCUUAAUUUUGUCCAGCUUUGCUUCUGGUUCACAGACCCAAACUAAGCGCCGCCUUGAUGUCCAGCCUCCAAGCCAACCCGCACUCCAUCCUCCACACAUCGCACGGCACCAUGUUCGAGCACUUCUCCUUCUGCCUCGUGUAGUACUGCAGCCUCACCCGGCAACUGAACGCUGGGUGAGUAUACGGCAGGCUCUCUUUCGUAGCCAGGCACACCCCAGCCUCCGCCGGCGGCGACUGCCCCUCCACGUAGUUCACCAUCCUCUUGUAGGCCUCGUUCACCCACUGCACUCUGUUAAAACCGUCAGAUAUAAACCCCGGACACGUGUCUUUAUCCAAACUCUUCAGUUUCUCCACGUCCGUGCAACCUAAACCUCGUACAACCAUGCACGUGUCUGUCACGCUUUCCACCGUCACCCACGAGUCCACCGCCGCCAGCCGAGGCACCACCGCCGUACUAUCUGUGCCGGAUCGUGUGUCCGCGUUCCAGACGGACCAGUUCAUCUUAGGGUUUAGGGUCAUCCACGUAGGCAACUCCCUGUUAUCCGAUGUUUUAACAACCGUAGGAUCAACGGUAGUACACCAAGAUCCACUACCUGAAAAAUCUCUCGGGUCUGUUUUUUCCGGCAUCAGCUGAAGAGUGACUACAGCCGUCGGAUUAUCUUCUGCGGAAGAUUUACUGUUUAUUAUUUUUCUGGCGCUGUUAUUAUUUUUAGGGUUCUUUGCAACCCUAAUGUACUUCCUCUUGACUCUUUUGCUUGCACUAAGAACGGUUUUACCAUCCGCCGAAGUCGUACCGGAGGAAGAGCCGCCAUCCGCCGGUUUCGGAGCGAUCGGCCGGAAUCUGAUCAUUGUGCGGUUGAUUAUCGCCUUAUCCAGAGCACCAGUCUCACCAUAUGGCACGUGCCAUCCAUCUCUGGCGUCCAUCCACCCUCCUCGCACGAUCUUCCUCUCCUCUCCCGCGGAUGCCAGAUCUCUGUCUUUCGCUCUCCUCCUUUCUCUCAAUAUCUCUCUCUCCGGAGGGCAGAAGGGAUAAUCAUAGCAGGAGCGUGGUGGCUGGGUGAGGAACCACCACGUGUCUAGGGCACCAUUCCAACUGUGUUUUGACAACCCAUUGGCUGAUUCGUUUCCCCGUAGGGCCCGCCUAAAGUUUGGCGUAUCUAGCAAGAAAUUUUUAUAUGAAACGCAUAAUACGUGUGCUAUAUUAUUCUACGCGUUGUAAUAAAUGUUGAACAGAAACGGUUGGUAAUGUCUUAUCUAUAA